rnacentral:rRNA from 1 species
CACACGACUCUUGGCAACGGAUAUCUCGGCUCUCGCAUCGAUGAAGAACGUAGCGAAAUGCGAUACCUGGUGUGAAUUGCAGAAUCCCGCGAACCAUCGAGUCUUUGAACGCAAGUUGCGCCCGAGGCCAUUCGGCCGAGGGCACGCCUGCCUGGGCGUCACG